UUUCCUUUUCAGGAUAUGGAUGCAGAUGUCAUGAAGAGUUUAUCUAGUUGUUGUCGUAAUGUUUUGUAUUACUUUAGUUAUUAUUUAUUGUUCCCUCGCCUUUAUCUUUAUAUAUUCUGUAAGAGGUAUAGGAAUUGUAUUAGUUAAUGCUUGUAAAAUUAUUUAAUAUAUAUACAUAUGUAUGUACUCUUUAUGAAAUCUUUAAAG